rnacentral:lncRNA from 1 species
CAGAGAGAAAAUAUUUAACUCAUUAACAGAUAGUUUUGAUAAGAAACCUAAAGAUUAUUGGGAAAUACUUAAAGGAAUGAAAAACAAAAAAAAUACUGGUAAUGAAGUGCCAGAAAUUUUAAAAGAUGAAGAAAUAAUUACGAAGCAUAUUCAGGACCAAGGAAAACCCACAUUUGUAAAUAUAAAAUGGAAAGAGGAAAUAGAAAAACAACUUGUUAAUAUUGAAAAAGAACAUAAUAUCUAAUAGAGAAACAGAUGCUCCAAUAAAAUACUCUGAAAUAAAAAAUGUUAUUAGUAAGCUAAAAAAAGAAAAAGUGCCUGGGCCAGA